rnacentral:rRNA from 1 species
AAUCAACGCUGGCGGCGUGCCUCAGACAUGCAAGUCGAACGAUUAAGACUUCCUUCGGGAAGUGCAUAAAGUGGCGCACGGGUGAGUAACACGUAAGUAAUCUACCUUUGAGUGGGGAAUAACCCGGGGAAACCCGAGCUAAUACCGCAUAAUGCAGCGGCAUCGCAAGAUGACAGUUGUUAAAGGAGCAACCCUCUUAAAGAGGAGCUUGCGGCAGAUUAGCUAGUUGGUAAGGUAAUGGCUUACCAAGGCUACGAUCUGUAUCCGGUCUAAGAGGACGGUCGGACACACUGACACUGAAUAACGGGUCAGACUCCUACGGGAGGCAGCAGUCGGGAAUUUUGGGCAAUGGGCGAAAGCCUGACCCAGCAACGCCGCGUGAAGGAUGAAGUAUUUCGGUAUGUAAACUUCGAAAGAAUAGGAAGAAUAAAUGACGGUACUAUUUAUAAGCUCCGGCUAACUACGUGCCAGCCGCCGCGGUAAUAC